GAAUUGGGACAGGGGAGCCAUUUGGCUGAGAGGAUAUGGUAAUAUAUCGACCCUUCACCUGAUCUGGAUUAUGCCAGCGUAGGGAGUUCUAUCAAGAGUCGU
rnacentral:ncRNA from 2 species